GACGGAAGCUUCCGCCCAUAUCGCUCUCUGACCACGCCUAUUCCCAUUAACAAGCUGCAGAGUGGGCGGGAAGCGCAGUGACGCCCAUAUCUGAGGCGUUUUAGUCAGAUUUUGUCCUGUUUACCUAACGAGCAGCACUGGGACAAAGUGAUCCUCCCCUCACUGGUCUGAUGACACUUCUUUCAAUUGGGAGAAAUCAACAGAUCGCAAUGAAAGUGAAGCGAGGGGGCGGCAGGUGUGGAGACAGCAGCACAGAGUAAGAGAGAGAGUGAAUCAGCAGUCGCUACACGUUAAGAAUAUUCGACCUUGAGAUUACGCCCGAUUCCUACACACAAGUCCUACAUCCAAAGUCAAUUAAACAUGACACUUUUAUUAUCAUCAUCAUCAAUAUGGUGCCGGUAAGUG